rnacentral:lncRNA from 1 species
UCUCAGCAUGCUUCGAGUCACUAAGUCUCGACACCUCUCAGAAACCACCGGUUAGCAAAAGAGGAAAAAAAUGCAAGAAAAAAGAGAAAACAAAGGAAAGAAAGAAAGCUCUUCAUUUGAUAUUGAGAAUAGGAGACGUCAUGAAGAAGACCCUCAGUGCUCGGCCGCUGGCGUAGCAUGAAGUGUAGGCAUGGCAUCGAACCCUAUGACUACUUGGUGCGUGAAGACUGUCCAGGGUUUCAUAUUCUCUCCACGGCUUUCGUUGUUUCUUCGGAAUGCGUUAGUUGCUUCACACCUAUUCAAAUGUCAACAGCGACCACUACAACUUCAGGAUGCUGAUCCUUGACAGUUGCACGUCAAUGGCUCGUUCUGGAAACAGUAAUGGUCGUUUGUUGGUCUAGAUACUUCGAUGUAUUUUGUAUUAUGAUUGAGGUGCUUAGUUUGACUGAAUUUACAGAGAAUAAAAUUUAUAUAGACAAUUCCAUACAUAUAAAAAUAUGAAAAUAUAACUGAUGAUGUAUCCAAUGACAUGCAUUUGGUAAGUUAAAUGNN